AUGGAAACUAAAAUAACACUCACAUCUGGUUACCACCCCCAGUCAAAUGGACAAACUGAACGCAUGAACCAAGAACUCGAAUCCACCCUCAAGAUGCUUCACCUCCACUAAUCCGGCUGAUUGGAGUCAGGAUCUCCCCUGGGUCAAGUACGCUCACAAUUCUCAUUUCUGCUGCUACUGGUUUUUCUCUUUUCGAAGUUUCUCUAGGCUAUCAACCACCAAUCUUUCCCUCUGAUGAAAAAGAAAUAUCACUUCAGUACAACAUCACAUCCACAGCUGCAGAAAUAUCUGGAACAGGACCAUCAUUGCUCUCAAUCAAACUUCUGAACAAAACCAUCGCUACGUUGACCGUAUGAGAUCCCCUGCUCCACAGUAUUCACCUGGACCAAAGGUUUGGCUCUCUGCACGUGAUAUUCCACUUAAGUCCAUGUCAAGAAAACUUUCACCCAAGUUCAUCGGCCCCUAUGAAAUCAAAAGAGUCAUCAUUCGUACCACAGUCUGUCUUCGUCUCCCAUCGUCUCUCUGUAUCCAUCCCACAUUCCAUGUGUCCCAAGUCAAACCAUUCUGAACCAGCACCUUGUGAUCUAUCAUCUCAUCAUCUAGGAGUAUAUGAGGAGCAGGCUGCCAGCACUUUGACUCCUGAGUGUUUUCCAGUAAUGGUGUUUCCUCGUGAUGCCUUGGAUUUAUCCAUUGUGUAGCCCAAGAUCCUGGCCUUUUGUAUUUUCCCCUUGUGAUGUCAUGGACUGUUACCCACUGGUUGCCUGAGUCCCUUUCCAUCUCCACAGAAGAACCACAGACAGUUUCUGGAUUUUCAGCUGGCAGUCGGAACACGCCUCAGUCUCCUCAUCUGAAACUUACCUGUCCGCCCUCCACCGCAGCCUCUACCAUCUACCUUCUACGAAAUCUCCGUCUGAACCUUGCCCCAAAACCUGGACCACUUCAAAGACCCUGCAAAGAGUCCAUAGCCCCCGAGACCGCAGUAAAACCUCCCUGAUGGAAUCUCAUCAUCUUCAAGUAAGAUCACUCCAUUUACCUCUGAGAACUCCUUUGUCCUACACACCUUGAACUCACCAUCUUUCCCUCACCAUCCUCAGAGUACAGACGACCCGGCUCCCAUCCGCAGGACAACUGCAUAUUUCAACAUUGCUUGAAUAAACUUUAUUUAUCUGA